rnacentral:rRNA from 1 species
UAGGGAAUAUUGGUAAUGUGCGAAAGCGCGAACCAGCAACGCCGCGUGCACGAUGAAGGCCUUCGGGUUGUAAAGUGCUUUUAGAGAGGAUGAGGAAGGACAGUACUUUCUGAAUAAGCCUCGGCUAACUACGUGCCAGCAGCCGCGGUAAAACGUAGGAGGCUAGCGUUAUCCGGAUUUACUGGGCGUAAAGCGCGUGCAGGUGGUUUCGUAAGUUGGAUGUGAAAGCUCCUGGCUUAACUGGGAGAGGUCGUUCAAAACUGCGAGGCUUGAGAGUGGUAGAGGGAGGUGGAAUUCCGGGUGUAGUGGUGAAAUGCGCAGAUAUCCGGAGGAACACCAGUGGCGAAAGCGGCCUCCUGGACCAUUUCUGACACUCAGACGCGAAAGCUAAGGUAGCAAACG